rnacentral:rRNA from 1 species
UUGAUAGUACCUUACUACAUGGAUACCUGUGGUAAUUCUAGAGCUAAUACAUGCUGAAAACCUCGACUUCGGAAGGGGUGUAUUUAUUAGAUAAAAAACCAAUGCCCUUCGGGGCUCCUUGGUGAAUCAUAAUAACUUAACGAAUCGCAUGGCCUUGCGCCGGCGAUGGUUCAUUCAAAUUUCUGCCCUAUCAACUUUCGAUGGUAGGAUAGUGGCCUACCAUGGUGGCAACGGGUAACGGGGAAUUAGGGUUCGAUUCCGGAGAGGGAGCCUGAGAAACGGCUACCACAUCCAAGGAAGGCAGCAGGCGCGCAAAUUACCCAAUCCCGACACGGGGAGGUAGUGACAAUAAAUACUGAUACGGGGCUCUUUUGGGUCUCGUAAUUGGAAUGAGUACAAUCUAAAUCCCUUAACGAGGAACAAUUGGAGGGCAAGUCUGGUGCCAGCAGCCGCGGUAAUUCCAGCUCCAAUAGCGUAUAUUAAAGUUGUUGCAGUUAAAAAGCUCGUAGUUGAACCUUGGGUCUGGCUGGCCGGUCCGCCUCACCGCGAGUACUGGUCCGGCUGGACCUUUCCUUCUGGGGAAUCUCAUGGCCUUCACUGGCUGUGGGGGGAACCAGGACUUUUACUGUGAAAAAAUUAGAGUGUUCAAAGCAGGCCUUUGCUCGAAUACAUUAGCAUGGAAUAAUAGAAUAGGACGUGCGGUUCUAUUUUGUUGGUUUCUAGGACCGCCGUAAUGAUUAAUAGGGAUAGUCGGGGGCGUCAGUAUUCAGCUGUCAGAGGUGAAAUUCUUGGAUUUGCUGAAGACUAACUACUGCGAAAGCAUUCGCCAAGGAUGUUUUCAUUAAUCAGGGAACGAAAGUUAGGGGAUCGAAGACGAUCAGAUACCGUCGUAGUCUUAACCAUAAACUAUGCCGA